CCCUGGACUGCUGGACCAGACACAAAGCUGGAAGAAACCAGGCUUUGCUGGCUCUAUGGCUUGUGGCAUGAUUGGGUGCUUUCCCUGCAGUGUCACUGUGCCUUCACUGCACUUGGCACUCAGCUGUCCUGAUUAGGCGAGGACAGGAAUGGCCUUGUUCCCAGCCUGGGCAGAUGUGCUGGUGGAAUAGGGUGUUCUGAAGGCACUGUUGGAUGAUAAAGAGAAGUUGUGAGUCUCACACUGUACCUGCAGAUGUUCAGUCAGAUUCUGGCUCUGCUCCUAAUGCACCAAAACCAGCAAACCACUUUGGGCAAACCAGUGGUGUCCAGGAAAUCCAGUAGGGACUGCACUGCCCACAUAUGACUAAGUGCAGAAUUUGCUCUGCAUAUAUCUUGAGCUGCUGGGGCCACCAAUUAAAAGGUGAAGAUUAUUCCCUGUAGAGCUUUUCAAAAUAGUGAACAGCCCCCACCCUAUCCUGAAGACAGUGAAAAGCUAUGGGAAGCCUCUUCUGGACUGAGCUGUGUCAUGGUAUGUUUGGAUACCUCAUCUUUGCAGUGCAAGGUACUUCAUAAAUUCAGCUCUAUUUUACGAACUCAUUAGGAAAGCAAACAGAAAACUCUGGCAAAUAAAGGCUCAGUUCCAUUUGUACAUAGAAAUCUAACAUGCCAUUUCACUCAUUCACCACUUAAUUCACUCGGUUUCAAACACCCAGUUCUCUAAACCAUAACAGCCUUCCAGACACCAUGCCCUGCCUGUGUCCUGCCCUCACUCUGACCAAGUACCCUGCUCUGAGGAGAUCCCCUAAACUCACUAGGACUUGGUUCAGGCCAGCCUGCUCUAGGGAAUUCUCCUGGGGCAGGUAUUGGCCCAGAAGAGCUCCACAGGUCCCUUGCCUUCCACACUUGGGUGGGAUACUCUGCUUUGGUUUGUCUCCUAAAGCACCUCAACUCAGACCGGCUGCCUGUUAGGAAGGAUGCUGGGACAAGGAAUGAUCCCAAACUCAAUCCUCUCUCAAGAUUCAUCCCCAAACAACAGCUCUCCACUCCAGAAAAUCCUGUGGUAACACAGUCAGAACAGAGAAAAGAGCAUUUUACUGUGGAGAUGGACUGUGGGGAGGGCAGGAGUCACAGUGCUUCAGCUGAUGAACAUGAAUUAGCACCUGCAGCAACAGUCACAGAGCUCUGAGAAAACCAGAAAGGCAGAAGGAGGCAGGAUUUUGUUCCCUUUGGGAGAGCAGCCCCUUAGCACAAAGCACCACUGGUGAGUUGUCACCUGGCACCAGCAGACUGAAAGUGGAAGAGUUGGGACUCUGUGCUCCCAGGCUCCCUGUCCUGCAUGACAGAUUUUCUCCCAGUAGUGCCAGUGAGCACAUAGCAGUGCUGCUGGUGGCUCCCCAGACCUCUCCAUCUUCCUGACUGGCACUGUGGGACUCCCCUUCCCUCCCUCCCA